rnacentral:rRNA from 1 species
AUUUAUUACCGACGCAAACUCUGCUUUCAGGCGGCUGCUUGGGGACUACGAGCGUGUGCUUAAAACUCAAAGAACAUGGCGGCUUGCUAACUUCCCAGGGGAAUAUGUGCCUUAAUCCGAUGAUCCCCGUCGAAUCUUACCGUACCUUGAAAAAGUGCAGCUGGUGUAUUGCCGUUGUCAGCUUGUCGUUUGAGCGAUCGCGUAACAGGCUCAAUGGAGCCCCGGGCGAUUAGUUCGCUGGCGUGCCGUGAAUUCAGGUCGAAAUACCGCCAAUGGUACAGGGGAGCAGGUAUUACAGUUUAGAUUUAAAAUUACGGAUCUUUAUUUUGAAAUAUUAGGGUGAAGGCGAACUUGGAAGUAAGGGAGGAUUAAUAUGCUCCCCUGAAUGUGACUCUAGCUUGAGUAC